rnacentral:rRNA from 1 species
UACGGAGGGUGCGAGCGUUGUCCGGAAUCAUUGGGCGUAAAGGGCGCGUAGGUGGCCCGGUCAGUUCGUGGUGAAAGCGCGGGGCUCAACCCUGCGUCGGCCAUGAAUACUGCCGCGGCUGGAGCACUGUAGAGGCAGGCGGAAUUCCGGGUGUAGCGGUGGAAUGCGUAGAGAUCCGGAGGAACACCGAUGGCGAAGGCAGCCUUCUGGGCCAACACUGACGCUCAUGCACGAAAGCGUGGGGAGCAAACAGG